rnacentral:lncRNA from 1 species
CAUUAUUUUGCACUCAUUCUUGAACAACACGUAUUUUAGUUUAGAAUUUGGGGAAAACAAUUAUUUUCCCUCAGCCCUUUGAAGAUAUUAUUCAGAUCUCUUUUGUUGCUAAUGAGAAGGCUGUUUACUUAUGAUUUCUUUGUAGGUAAUUUUUCUUUUUUCUGUGGUUUCUUUUAGGAUUUUCUCAUUGUCUUUGGUGUCAAGAAGUUUCACUACAACGUGGCUAGGUAUAAAGUGAUUUAUAUUUUCUCUGUUCGGAAACCACUGUGCCUCUUCAGCCUGAGGAGUCACAGACCCAACAGUUCUGGAAAAUUAUUAGCUGUCAGCUCUUUGCAUAUUGCUUCUUCCCCAUUCUCUCCAUUGUCUUCUGCCGAAAUUAAUAGUAGAGGUGUUUCUUCCACUUACUCUAUCCUCUGUGCAUCUUGGUCUUCUUUUCUCAUUUCUUUUCAGUGUUUUAAAAAUCUCUAAGCUGAAUCAGUACACUUAUCUAAAGUGAAUUUAGAACAGAAAAAAACUUCUCUGGGAGGUGACUGUGUGUGUGUGUGUGUGUGUGUGUGUGUGUGUGUGUGUGUGUGUUCACGUGCGCCUUUUAGUAAAAGCAAAGUUUACUUAGUAGCAGUCCUCUCUGGGAGUCCCAGCAAGACUCCCACCCACACAGCCACCCCCCAUGUUUUACUGUGCUUUCAGAAGAAAAAAAAUGAAUGUUAAAGAAAUCAGAAGCACAAAAUGAAUUACAGUAAUAAUCUGCCAAAUUAGAAACAAAAACUUCAAAGGAUCACCAGAGCUGACUAGAGAUAAGGGAAAUUUUUUUAGUGUUCUCUAAACCUUAUGGUGCAGGAUGGAGGGGCCCAUUUCAAUGGGCUAUAGUCCCAACCCUCUGAAUAAAUCCUGGGAGAACAUAGUUCUCAAUACUUCUCCACCAGCCAUCACCUAAUAAUUCAGGAGUGUUCUUAAUCAGAGGAACAUAUGAAGGUGGAGCAGGGCAGGAGGAAGGAAUGAUGAUCCCCUCAGAGGUGAGGGGUCUCUCCCAUAGCCAGCUGAUCACCACCUAUUAGGAAGGAAGCUGAAUGUCUGACAAGUCCUGGAAGCUUCCUCUACCACCCAGGCCUCCUGAAUGGCAUCGAAGAAAGGUUGAAUCAUCAGACCCGGAGCCUCUAGGAGACCACACUAUGGCCUUUGGGGAGUGAGGGGGUCUCACUCCUGCUUCUCAGCGUUUCUCUUUAUUUCUCUACCUUUGAGGGUUCGGGUUGGGUUAGGGCUGGUUUGCAUGCUGAUGGAUGUGUCAAAAGUGUUUGAACCAGAGCAACUCCAUCUUGAGUAAAAUGAGGCUGAGACCUACUGGGUUGCAUUGCCAGAUGAUUAAGGCAUUCUAAGUCACAGGAUGAGAUAGGAGGUCGGGACAAGAUACAGGUCAUUGAGACCUUGCUGAUAAAACAGAUUGCAGCAAAGAAGCUGGCCAAAACCCACCACAACCAAGAUGGCGACAAGAGUGACCUAUCUUCAUCCUUACUGCUACACUCUCACCAGCACCCUGACAGUUUACAAAUACCAUGGCAACAUCAGAAAGUUACCCUAUACGGUCUAAAAAGGGGAGGCAUGAAUAAUCCACCCCUUGUUUAGCAUGUGAUAAAAAAAAAACAGCCAUACAAAUGGGCAACCAGCAGCCCUCUGCUCUGUCUGUGAAGUAGCCAUUCUUUUAUUCCUUUACUUUCUUAUUUUUUUUGGAGGUGGAGCCUCGCUCUGUUGCCCAGGCUGGAGUGCAAUGGCGUGAUCUCGGCUCACUGCAACCUUUGCUUCCCAGUUUCAAGCGAUUCUCCUGCCUCAGCCUCCCGAGUAGCUGGGAUUAUAGGUGCCUCCCAGCAUGCUCGGUUAAUUUUUUUUAUUUUUGGUAGAGAUGGGGUUUCAUCCUAUCUAGUCACCCUAGUCCAAGAGCUAGGCUGCUGUCCGUGAUCUGCCCAUCUCGGCCUCCCAAAGCGCUGGGAUUACAGGCUUGAGCCACCACGCCUGGCUGAACUAAGGUUUUAUCUAAACAACAUUUAUUUUUAAAUACAUGAUUAUGGCGUAGAGUAUUAAACAUUUCAGAAACGCCUAAGAUAAUCACAGUCAUCCUUUAAUCCCAGCACCCAGAGAGAACCACUACUAAGAAUGUGUUGUCUUAUUUCCUUCCAGUCUUUUUUCCAUACAGGCUUAUAUAGUUAUUGGUUAACAAUGUCAAGAGCAAUUUUUUUUGUUCAUAGUAAAUAUUCUAUGUCAUCAUUACUCAUGAUUUGAAGUCUCGGAUUUUCCCCAAUGCUGUCUGGCCGGUGGUAAACUAUUAGUUUAUUAGUGAAUAUAAUAAUCUCUACUGCUGAAUAUUCCCACGGUUUCCCAGUUCUAAGCAAUGCUCCAAUGCGUCAUAGCACAUACCUUUUUGCACGUAUCUGCGAUUAUUUUCUAGGCAGCAAGGAGGUGCUGGAUCAGAGGUCUGCACAGUUUUAAAGAACUUGUACAAAUUUAUUGCCAAAAUGGCUCGUAGGAUUUUCACAGGAAACCGGUCCAAGCGUCACCAUCCCCAGCCGCUUCCCAGGGGCGUAAACCCCGCCCAGCAGAGGAACCUAGGGGUGGGGGCUCUGACGUCCCACCCUGAGUCCCGAGGGGUGACCAAUCUUUCAGGCAGUGUUAGGGGUUAACCCAACACACCUCGACCCCGCGACCCCGGAGGCGGAUUCCCCCGAGGGGAUCCUCGGCCCAGCCUUCCUGGGGGAUGAAUUUACAAAGAGUUCCCAGCGGGUGCCACCCUCCCCUUCCCUUGGAAGGCGCUCAGCCACUGCCAAGGUGCGGACGCAGCGGGGGCGGCGCCGUGCGGGAGGGGGCAGCCAGCCUUGACUUUCGUUUUUUGGGUGAGGGGUGAGUGUCUUGAAAGAAAUGAGAAGUUAAGUUUUGAGUCUGAAAGAAUUAAAAUUCUCUGCCCCCACCCCCACCCAGUUCCAGUAUUAGUGCGGAGUUGGAGGGUGGCUGUGGGUUGAGGGGUGGGGUGCUGGAUCCUGGACACAGCAUGGCCUUGCCCUUAGCCCUUGUGGGCGGACCUGGGGUCUGCGAAAUGCUGACAUAAUGGUCACAGAUCCACUCCACCCCUCCUGCUUGGGAAGGGAGAAGCCAGUCUCCCCUCUCUGUACAUGCUCCUCUGUGGUGG